CGGUGUGAAGCGCGCGGCAGCAGCGUCACUGUGGCACAGUCCAGGUGGGAGAGAGGCACUGAGCGGACGGAACGUUGGGCGGGGCCGCGCCUCAGGGCCGGUCUCUGGUUGCGAGGCCACGCGCUGGCGCUGGGGGCGCGCGGGAGCGCAGGGCCCGAGGAAUGUUGAACCCGUGGGACUCCCUGGUCCCGGUGCAGCUCCUGGACUGCAAGAACAGCCGUGCGAGGGUGGGACGACCUGUUUUCUCCGAAGGUUCUGCCCCUGGAGCUCUGCAGCGGCCGUCUGAGACAAAUCUAUCUGCCCACAUUUCAAAUGAUGAAAAAACUAACAAGCAAGUACAUGAAUUCCCAAGGUUUUCAGCAUGGCACGGGAGUCCUUGAGUGUAUGCAAGGCUGCAUCUGUGGUGUCUGCAAAGAGUUUCUGUCCCUCAAAAGAUGGAAAGGGAAGAAACAGGAACCCCGCAGGGAACAGGAAGGGGUAAUUUCAGGCUAAAAGGAAAGGAAAAAGUAUUCUGAGGAAGAUUAUUCUGAGGUGCUGCUGUUGUUCCGACAGAUGCCAACAGCAGCAAAGAAGGAACUGGGGGACGUGCGCGCAAUACCCA